UGCCUCUGGUUUUGGACUUAGUCUCAGAGCCGUUUCUCCUCAGAUUUGGACUUUAACUUUUGAGCGGAGUCACAGAGUCAGAUAGUGGAAUAAUUGGACGGAUAAGGAAGGUAGUCUCCCACUACAUUUUGGCGAGCUAGCCAGGAGGAGCGGCCCGGUACACAGCCUGCGGCGGCGGACCGGGAGGGACGGGACGGCGGAUCUCAGGCGCGCCCCACAUACACCAUUAAGGGAUAUAUUUAUAUCUUUUCUUCAUUUACGAGUGAUACCGUCUACUCCUUCCCAGCCCCAAGUCUCAGCCAGCUUCUACUGACUACUGACUGCGGAGUCGAGAUCACUGAGGGGAUGAUGUUCCCCGACCCCGUGCUGAGGCAAACAAGGAAGCAGACUGUCAUUGAGAUCCAGAAGUGUUUUAUACACAGGCCAUGUCAGCCAAACAAAUUGAAGGAGGCUACAGAGGUAUCACCUGACACAAAGACUGGAGUCGGGUGGGCCACAGAGUCCUGGACAAAGAUGGCAGGCACUGCACAACAGCCAGAGGAAAAGGAGACUGGGCCCGUAUCAAAUUAUCAAGGAAAGUGCAACAGCACUGACCAGAUAAGCUAUGCUGCAGAAGUAAGGUUAUGGGAACCCCGAGCUUAAUCAUCAAGAAGGGAGAGAUCCAGAGGAAUCCUGACCACAUGCACCAGCUAAAGGUGUCUGUUCAUUUCCCAGGAUUCACCUUGACACAGCCAAAGGAGACAGCAGAGGUCAGAGGUCUGAACUUUGAGCAGCACAUACACAAGACACACACACACACACACACACACACACACACACACACACACACACACACACACACACACACACACACACACACACACACACACACACAGAGGGAAACACUGAUUGAAUGUUAAAGUCUAAGCUUUGCUUUCUGGCAGUAUUUGAUAGCUUUAGGGCUCUAAGCAAGUUUGAUUUUUAGAAAUAUAAAAGAUGCACAUUCUGUUGUUAUCCUGUUGUUGACUGUUAGACUAGGUUAAAGAAAAUAUCCACUCAGCCCUAGGGCUGUCAAGGUCAUUGCUCAUUCAUCAGGGUGCCAUUGUUGACUCUCUCAUUUCACCAUGUACCUCCCCCAUCUUGCCCGAAAAAGAAACCAAAAAAAAAAAAAAAAAAAGGGGGGGGAGAGAUUUUUAAAAUACUUUAGGGUCAUAAAUUAAGAUGCUGUAAUGACUGUGGGUUUUCAGUUACUGAUUUAACAAAUGCAUAUUCUAGCAUUCCUGUUUAUCCUGACUCACAGUUCAAGGUUGCUUUCACUAUCAAUGGUAAACUUUGUUCAUGGAUUUGGAUGCCAUAGUUUUCUUCUCCAGUCCAACUUUGUUCCAAAACCGCAAAUGAAAACAAAUGAUUGCCUUAUUGGAUUUAGCAGGCUAUUGUUGUCCAUAGAUUGAGCUUUUUCUCAUUCAUUUUUUUUUAUUCUUUUAGGCCUCCCAGACCAUAGACGUCCCUUAAAGAAAAAAAAAUCAUGAAAAUAAGACAUUUCUGAAAUGGUGUUUAUUUAAAAAAAAAAAAAAAAGAGUAGUCCCACGGUGACGAAAAGUGAUUAAUAGAUCAUUAUUUUUAACUUUACGUAACUUUAACGUUAUGACCAUAUCUGAUAUAAUUAUGUGUCCUCUAACUGUUUGUGUUCUGCAUGCUGUUUCAUUUAACCUCAGAAAACCAAAAAGAACAGAUAAUUAAAUAUGUUGCAGAUAGGGCGCAGUUUGCCUGUCGAAUUUUGAUGCAAGACGCUCCAACUGGUAAGCAACCUUUAGCAUACUAUAGCACCAAGUUAGAUAACUCUGAGGCUGGUCUGCAUCCCAGUUGUCAGGGACUUGCAGCAGCAGCUUUUGCUUUGAGAGAGCCUCAACAGGAACCAUAGGACACCCAACAAUACUGUAUACAUCUCACCAGAUACAUGCCCACCUCACCAGUCCAAGGUUUGUGCUUACACAAGCUAGGUUAUGAAGUUGUGCUCUCAGCAACAACUGAACAUCCAACGCUGCAAUACAGUUAAUCCUGCAACAUGGAUGAUGAUACCCAUAGAUAGAAUGCAACAUGACUGCCUUCAAGCCACAAAUGUGUUUCUGAGACCACGUGAAGAUAUGCAUAAUCAGCCAAUAACAACAUAUCUCUCUCUCUUUGUAGAUGGAUCCUGCUUCAGAGACGUGACAAGCAACAACACAGGUUAAGAAAUUGUACAGUUGCUGCCAGAUGAUAUAUUUACCACAGUCUAAACAAUCUAUCUUGCCCAACCAUGCUCAGCACAGCUUGCAGAAAUUAAAGCUUUUAACUGCCGCAAAGCAAAUUAUCAGAAGGCAAGCGGUUAAAUGUAUACUCACAGUGGGCUAUGCAUACGCAGUGUGUCAUAUAUAUGGAAAUAUCUGGAAACAGAGAGGUUUUCUCAGAGCGGAAUGGCACACCAGUAAUGCAUGGAGCAGCCAUCUUAACACUAAUUCAAGCAUUCAUCUAUCAAGUGUAUCAGCUAUUAUCAAGUGUGCUGCUCACCAAAAAAGCAGUUCCCUAAUAGCCAAACGCAAUAGCCUGGCUGACGAGGCCACUAAACAAGCUGAAACCGGUACAUGUGUUGGACGGUUGAAGGCAGCCGAAAACUGUGAACCACUCACCACUUUACCAUCCUUAAUAGCAGCCCAGAAGGAGGCUGACAUACGUACAGUUAGUGUGGUUAAAACGUGGUGAUAUUAAAACCACUCAAGAAGACCACCAGAAAGGUUUAUGGUGUAAGCACAGUAGAUAAAACUUUAGCAGAAUGUUUGUGCAAACAAUACUCUGAGGAAAGCCUUUCCUGCUGCAAAAUUAUACAAAUUAUACAAAUGUGUUUGCCAGAGUGCAUGAAUUCUGAUAACGAGUCAUCUUUUGAUAGAGAUAAAGAUUAAACUAGGAGUUUGAGACCAUGGACUUCUGAAAAUAAAGACAGUUCAGGCUAAAAAGGGCAGAGACUAUCCAGGGUGGAAAAAAAAAAAAAAAAGAGCACUCUUCAAUUUGGGCUAAGAGAAAAGAAAAGGGUAUUUGUAGGACAGAGAAAUGCAGGUUAAAAUACAGCCUUAAGUCCAUGGACGGCAAACAUCGGAUAAAUAAUCAAAAAGCAAGGUAAAUUAAAGUCUAAAUUAAAGGAAAUGUGAGAAUAAUGCAUGCGAGAACCAAAACUGAAAAAAACACACACAAAAAAAAAACAAUCUGAACUGAAAAUAAACAACGAUAAUAGUUGUUAACAAAAAUCGAAGACCAACAAAAAAGUUUCAGUUAAACCAACAAUAAAUGUUCGAACAUUCUUAUGGGGGUUUAAUAAAGUAAAAAAGUAGUGUAUGAGGUUGUUGACUGUGUGUUGUCAACUACCUGUGUCUUGAGUGUGUGUUGAAGAAUCUACUGGAAAAAUUAGUGUUUCCUAAAAUAAAUUGUGCUAUUUUGCAGUGUUGUGUGAUUUGGUGCUGAUGUAACUGUCAGACAUUGGAGACAUUUUUGCUGUUCUAAAGAGCUUUGUAUUACUGUUAAUAAGUGGUUAAGUGUGUUGCAGUACUCAAACGAUGUGAAGGUUAUUAGACAAACUUGAUAGUUCUGGUCUAAAAUGUGUGUGCUAAUAGAUAUAUUAGUAUUGAAUGUGAUUUAUGAGAUGGUUGUUCUUGUGUGUUGUUUUUGACUUAUGAAUACUAUUCGUGCAGGCUAAGAGUUUAUAAAUGCAUGUGUAAAGUGUCGUUGAGAUAAGGAAUCCAAGUGACGGUCGGUUGAGGUUACAGCCGAGGAGACACAUCCCCGGGCAGGUUUUAUAUUGUUUUAAGAGCGGGUUCCUAUCUCGCUGAUGGCUGAGGGAGUUGUGUGCUGAAAAGUUGUGUUUCAAACUGCAGCUCCAUUGCUCCUCCCCUGGUGUGUGUGAGAGGGGGGAUGCUAGCGCCCCCCGCUCUACUGCACGUCCGGUGUGACGUAAUCACCCUCCCUUUCUCUCCUCGCUGUCGACUGGGUCCAAGCUCAGUGAACUUUUCCUUUUUUAGUACAUCAAGGUUUUGUUGUGUAUUUUUUUGUUGUUGUUGUUUUUCAAGCUCCUUUCAGCAUGCUGUCUCAUUAGUGGUUGUUGUCUGAAGUGAAUACCUAUAUGCAAGUGAUAUAUACAAUUUACGACGAUUACAUAUAAGCUGCUAUUUCAAAUAUUAUAACCAAUUGUGUUGCAAAUACAGUUUAAGCCAGUUUAUAUUCAAGUAAACGCUAUGAUCUGUUCUUUGGAGUUACAGGGUGUGAGCUGAAGAAGGCUGUUGUUAAUCAAGUAGCAUUUGACCAACCUACUCUAUUGCCCAAAUGGUGUGUUCAUAACAAAGAAAUUCAAAGCUAAUAUUAGAACUGAAAUAUUAGAAAUGAUAUAUAAUGAUGUUGAAAAUACUGAGAUCCUUUACAAAAAAGCAUAUAUAUAAAGUGUCUGUGUUGAUUGCAUCAUGAUUUUCACAUCAAAGUUCACAUACCUGUUACAGAAGAAGUAAAAUCAUCAUUUUAACUACAGAAACAUCAAGCAUCUAAUAAAAACAUACAUAUAACAUGUCCACAGUCACAAGGUUCAGUAGAACAUGCCAGUGGUAUAUCAAAAACUAAAAUAGCCAAAAUCAUGGCUGAUGGUAAUGGUAAACUCACCUGAGAAGAUGCUUUGCCAUUAGCACUAAUGUCUAUGCACUCACAAACUAACAGACUAACCCAUCUAACCCUGCAUGAAAUGCUCACUGGAUGCCCAAUGCCACUGCCACAGUGCAGGGGCCCUAUAGAGGGACCGCUUCAGCAGCACUAUUUAUGGGGUUUAACUCAAAUCUACAGAUGUGUCCUCCAACAGGUGAAAGACUGAUAGUAGUGUCGGAGAGGCUGCCGAGGAUGAUGCCACCAGCACAACCACGGGCAGUGACACCCUGGAAAGCGCACGUGCAGGACCGUCCGGCCUGCAAGAUAUACACCACCCGUCCACGCCUGAAUUCUGGCCAGAGUCAGAGCGUUCUCUGACUCAGAUUAAUUUGUUUGUUUUCUUUCUUUUUGUGCUAACCCUUUCAGGUUUCGCAAGGGGGGAGGUAGAAAGAGAAGUCCUAAUGACAUGUGCCACUAUUAACACACCACAUGUUAACUGUGCACUUACCAUGGUCACCUUAGCCACAAUUACAAGGGCAUAGUGAAAAUGGGAGAACUACUACAUCUUCUGUAUGUAAAAGCUGACACAUAUGGUUGUUCACUAACCACCGAUGGCACAAUAGCUAACGCUCCAGGUUAACAUUGGGUGGGACUACCCCGCACCACUGACUGUCAAGAGAAUGGAUGGUGACAUUACAGGUAAUACGCACAAACACGUCAUGUUAGGACACAGAAACAAUCAGAAAAUGAAACUUUUAGAAGCCAGUAGAUGGAUUCGGCUAAAGAGUAACUGAGAAAAAAGAGAUUUGGCCAAACUAAGAAGCACAGAAAAAGACCAAUAAGAGUGUAUUGUACGUUACAAACGUCAAAAGAAUACCACUGCCAGGAAGUCACAGAGGUGACUGUUCGGAUAUAACUGAAUGUCUUGCUUGUUGUGCAGUGCACAUGGCAGUGAAAUUGGAUAGAUGGAGUUCCAACUCUCAAAUAUGCCAAUGAAAAAUUAAAAACAAUGACAGCUAUGUAAACUUGAUAAACUAAUCUUCCUUUUCUGUGUAGCACGAGGACGAGUUGGUGUAUGUAACCUGGAGAAACACAACCAACCUGACGUGGUGAGACUAAUGAAGUGCAGCAAUGAGACCUGGUAUCCGGCCACCAAUGGGGGCAAUGCUACCACCAUAAAAAUGUGUGAAUCCAGCCCUUCAACAAUUAGCCCAACCACAACUACAGGAUGAGCUCUCCGUGGAUAAUCAGCUAGGAAGACAACAUCAUGGAUAGAGGUCAAAAUGUAAUUUAGAUAAAUGUGCCAGCAAGGCUGUGAGCCUGGCUAAGGUUGCUGUCCACUCCUGCAGAGGAACAAUCCAAAUGGAUACAACAGAGCAGAGGUAUCUGUCAGUGCCUGCACCCUCCAGGAAGAAGGGUGAGCUAUCAACACAGAGACUACUGUACAAGGAGAGAGACAGGCUGACAGGUUUAUAAAUUAUAUUCCGACAAUUGUACGACGAUCCCUUGUAUUCAACAUAGUUAUGUAGAGUCAAAUGUUGUAAAUGUGUUGAUGAAGAAAAGCGGGCACUCAUUUGUGAAGGUCACGUCAGAAAGCUGAGUGCCAUAAAAAGCACAAGAAAUGUAUUAAACCAGUGUGGUUUACAGGAAACCAGUAAGUUCAUAGGGACUCUGGUGUAAUGUUGGCCUUAGGGCCGCCACACUAACCAAGGCAACACCACGGGUAAUAUGUCACCAAGGCUAACAAAUAACCCAAGCGUGUCAUUUAAGUCCAGGUGCUAAGAUUGGAUAGAGCUCUUACCUGUCGUUAUGUAAUUGGAUCAUUGGAAAAAUACCAGAAGAAAUUUUUUUUACAAAAACAAAAGGUGGUAUGAGAGUUUUACGUCAAUGAUCUAAUAAUUACUGAUCUAAUGUUUGCUGAACUGACCAAAGAGGGAUCAUCUUUACAAAGUGUGUCUAGAUAAUAUUCUAAUUCUAAAGGGUUUAAGAAUUUGUCUAUGUAAUCUUGUGCUUUUCUGAAAAAAAAAAAAAAAAAAAA